rnacentral:rRNA from 1 species
AUUCGCCCAACAUACAAGCCCGCCUUAUCCCUACAUACCCCUUAACUAAAACAAACAAACCAUUUGACCAAAAUAGUAUUUGAGAAAGAACCCUAAAACCCCGGCGCAACAAGUACCGCAAGGGAAAAAUGAAAGACCAAUGAAAAACAUACAAGCAAAACAAAGCAAAGACUCACCCUUGUACCUUUCGCAUCACGGUUUAGCAAGAACAAGACGAACAAAGAGAACUAAAGCUCGCCCUCCCGAAACUAUGUGAGCUACUUCUAGACAACUACCAGAGUAAACUCGUCUCUGUGGCAAAAGAGUGAGACGAUCUAGAAGUAGUGGUAAAAAGCC